ACUCCGGAACGCAUUCUGAGGCUUGAAGUUUAUUUUUUUUUUCAUCAGCCGAUUAAUCAUUACUCCAUACUACGCAGGUUAACUAACUAACUAACCACGUAGUAACUUGGUACGCACCGUGCAAAGUUGUCUUGACAUCCCAGCCUCGAAGGCCGCACGCACCACCUUCAGCCUCAGGCAGGCCACCAGUCCUGCAACGCACAACCACAUAUAUGGGCGAUUGUACAACACACGAAUCUAUUUUUGUUUUACGAGUUAAGUCGCACACACGUAUAUCCGUAUCUCAUCUGCCAUACCACCUCCGAGACUUCCCUGAAAUAUUUGUCAAAGCGCAUCCAACAACAUUACACCCGUCUUUGAUAAUCCAGUGGACAUGCUGGUGUCGUACCGAAACCUUGGCGUUCGGUCGGUGCAGCCGAUAUUCAUACAGAUGUCAAUUCAAGCAACUCUGUGACUGCGUUUGAUGCAUGAUAAACCUGUUACAUGCCACACGAC
rnacentral:lncRNA from 1 species